GACGAAGGAUGCAAGCGUUAUCCGGAUCCAUUGGGUUUAAAGGGAGCGUAGGUGGCCUUAUAAGUCAGGCGUGAAAGCCCUGGGCUCAACCCGGGAAUUGCGCUUGAGACUGGUGUGCUUGAGUACGGGAGAGGAUAGUGGAAUUCCCAGUGUAGAGGUGAAAUUCGUAGAUAUUGGGAAGAACACCGGUGGCGAAGGCGGCUAUCUGGACCGUAACUGACGCUGAGGCGCGAAAGCGUGGGGAGCAAACAGG
rnacentral:rRNA from 1 species